rnacentral:rRNA from 1 species
CCUACGGGCGGCAGCAGUGAGGAAUAUUGGUCAAUGGACGAGAGUCUGAACCAGCCAAGUAGCGUGAAGGAUGACUGCCCUAUGGGUUGUAAACUUCUUUUAUAUGGGAAUAAAAUGUUCCACGUGUGGGAUUUUGUAUGUACCAUAUGAAUAAGGAUCGGCUAACUCCGUGCCAGCAGCCGCGGUAAUACGGAGGAUCCGAGCGUUAUCCGGAUUUAUUGGGGUUAAAGGGAGCGUAGGUGGAUUGUUAAGUCAGUUGUGAAAGUUUGCGGCUGAACCGUAAAAUUGCAGUUGAAACUGGCAGUCUUGAGUACAGUAGAGGUGGGCGGAAUGCGUGGUGUAGCGGUGAAAUGCUUAGAUAUCACGAAGAACUCCGAUUGCGAAGGCAGUUCACUGGACUGCAACUGACACUGAGGCUCGAAAGUGUGGGUAUCAAACAGGAUUAGAGACCCUUGUAGUC